UACGUAGGUGGCGAGCGUUGUCCGGAUUUAUUGGGUUUAAAGGGUGCGUAGGCGGCUUGUAAGUUAGAGGUGAAAGCCCAGGGCUUAACCCUGGAAUUGCCUUUAAGACUGCAUCGCUAGAAUCGUGGAGAGGUGAGUGGAAUUCCGAGUGUAGAGGUGAAAUUCGUAGAUAUUCGGAAGGAAACACCACGUGGCGAAGGCGACUUACUGGACACA
rnacentral:rRNA from 1 species